GACAUUACGGGAGGCAGCAGUGGGGAAUAUUGCACAAUGGGCGCAAGCCUGAUGCAGCGACGCCGCGUGAGGGAUGACGGCCUUCGGGUUGUAAACCUCUUUCAGUAGGGAAGAAGCGAAAGUGACGGUACCUGCAGAAGAAGCCCCGGCUAACUACGUGCCAGCAGCCGCGGUAAUACGUAGGGGGCGAGCGUUGUCCGGAAUUAUUGGGCGUAAAGAGCGUGUAGGCUGUUCGGUAAGUCUGCCGUGAAAACCUGAGGCUCAACCUCGGGCGUGCGGUGGAUACUGCCGGGCUAGAGGACGGUAGAGGCGAGUGGAAUUCCCGGUGUAGCGGUGAAAUGCGCAGAUAUCGGGAGGAACACCAGUAGCGAAGGCGGCUCGCUGGGCCGUUCCUGACGCUGAGACGCGAAAGCUAGGGGAGCGAACAGGAUUAGAUACCCUGGUAGUCCUAGCCGUAAACGAUGGACACUAGGUGUGGGGGGAGUCGAAUCCCUCUGUGCCGCAGUUAACGCGUUAAGUGUCCCGCCUGGGGAGUACGGCCGCAAGGCUAAAACUCAAAGGAAUUG
rnacentral:rRNA from 1 species